AUGCACCAGGUGCAGCUCCAGAAGUGGUACCCCAGUGCUAUGGGAUCUUAUGAGCCGUUCUUUGGUAGAGGAACGAAACUGACAGUUCUAGAAAAAGACCCAGUUCCCCCUAAACUUCACAUCCUCGAGCCGUCGAAGGAAGAGAUUGUGCAGAAGAAGCGGGUGACCCUGGUGUGUCUGGCCACUAAUUUCUACCCGGAUCACAUUGAAAUCACCUGGAAGAUCAAUGGCAAGAACAGAGAGGAUGGGGUUAAAACAGAUGAUUAUGCUACCAAGGACACCAACACAUCCAGCAUCAGCAGCCGGCUAAGACUGACCCUGAAAGAAUGGUUUAACCCCAAGAACACCUUCACCUGUGCUGUGAAGUUCUACAAUGAAACUGACGUACCAAUAUUUUUUGAAGAAAAGAUUCAUGGAGUAGAGGGAUGUCUCACUUCAGACUCCAUGCACAAGGACUUGGGAGCGGCCCGAUUGACCUACCUCCUCAUGGUGUGUAAGAGCGUCCUGUACGGUCUGCUAGUGACGGCGCUGGUGUGGAAGCUGAAGCCUACAGGUGAGAAGUGCUUCAACUAAACAGGGUGCAGAAUGUGGAAACUUCACAGGAAAGCCUGAUAACAGAAAUGCAAUGUGUUCUUUAUUGCUGUAUUGCUUUUGCAAAGAAAAUUGUGAAAUACUGUGUUUAGAAAUAUUUCUUUUUAAAUAACAGUUGAUGGAGGACUUAGAUGCCGCUGUGUGCAAAUUAAAAUGUUUAAAACGAGUGCAAGUCUGACUUAGAUCAAAUAUUAUAGGAGUAUGGACAUCUCAGAGUAGCUCUAGGUGGACUGUAAUACACAACACAACACUGCCACACACAUGCAGAGACAUUAGCACUGGGCACCUGGACUGAAACACACAACACCACACAACACAACACAACACAACACUGCCACACACAUGCAGAGACAUUAGCACUGGGCACCUGGACUGAAACACACAACACCACACAACACAACACAACACAACACUGCCACACACAUGCAGAGACAUUAGCAGUGGACAUGUUUUGAAUGGAAGUAGCACUUCCUCCAAUGCAGGCCAGUUUUACUGCAGUUAUUGACAUUCCUGAUCUGCGGGUAAAGAGAGAACACCGACCAGGAGCUCCAAACUACUCAUCUGAUUGUACUGUUGCUGUUUUAUGGGGUGCCAUAUGUAAAAAAAAAUGUAUUUUUUCCCAGAUUUAACUUAAAUCUUGUAUUUUUCCCCAGAUUUCUAAAUGUUGUGAAAAUAAAUAAAUGUUUUAAAUGUGUAUAUUCAGAUAUAAUUUAUGAAUCUAGUUACAAGUUUUAACAUUUAGCUAAAUAUUUAACUGGCCAGCUAAAUCUGGAGUUUGUAUGCAAAUGAGCUCAGUCUGCUUUGUGCUU